rnacentral:rRNA from 1 species
AAUGAGAGUCUGACGGAGCACGCCGCGUGAGUGAUGAAGGCUUUCGGGUCGUAAAACUCUGUUGUUAGGGAAGAACAAGUGCUAGUUGAAUAAGCUGGCACCUUGACGGUACCUAACCAGAAAGCCACGGCUAACUACGUGCCAGCAGCCGCGGUAAUACGUAGGUGGCAAGCGUUAUCCGGAAUUAUUGGGCGUAAAGCGCGCGCAGGUGGUUUCUUAAGUCUGAUGUGAAAGCCCACGGCUCAACCGUGGAGGGUCAUUGGAAACUGGGAGACUUGAGUGCAGAAGAGGAAAGUGGAAUUCCAUGUGUAGCGGUGAAAUGCGUAGAGAUAUGGAGGAACACCAGUGGCGAAGGCGACUUUCUGGUCUGUAACUGACACUGAGGCGCGAAAGCGUGGGGAGCAAACAGGCUUAGAUACCCUGGUAGUCCACGCCGUAAACGAUGAGUGCUAMGUGUUAGACGGGUUUCCGCCCUUUAGUGCUGAAGUUAACGCAUUAAGCACUCCGCCUGGGGAGUACGGCCGCAAGGCUGAAACUCAAAGGAAUUGACGGGGGCCCGCACAAGCGGUGGAGCAUGUGGUUUAAUUCGAAGCAACGCGAAGAACCUUACCAGGUCUUGACAUCCUCUGAAAACCCUAGAGAUAGGGCUUCUCCUUCGGGAGCAGAGUGACAGGUGGUGCAUGGUUGUCGUCAGCUCGUGUCGUGGAGAUGUUGGGUUAAGUCCCGCAACGAGGGCAACCCUUGAUCUAG